AACUUCAGCUCGACACUUCACGACGCGCAUUAUUCAUAUUGUCAUAUUAUUGAAUUCUUUUCGUAGGCACCAUGCGAACAUUUAAGACAUCCUUUGUUACACUGGGCGUGGCUUUGGUCUCGUUUGUCGCGUCGCAAACGUCUCAAGGACCUGCGACAGACUCCCGCCCGCUGGACUUCACCGAGGAUUUCUACCCUGAAAACAUGAGCGGAACCAUGAGCUACGCAACCACCCGUGUUACCGAAGCGCGUUGGACGCAUCCGGAAGGUACCAAAUCUGAAGGCACAACCUUAGAAACCACACCCGCACCCCUGACCACUUCCUACAUCUACGUCUACACCAAAAUGAAGGAAAAUCAGAAGGACAAAAGUCCCACCACAGCAAAGGCCAAUCCUGCCAAAUCCAAUGACAGCAUUGGUAUCAUCAUCGCCGUUUUGAUCAUCGUGGUCGCCAUCGGAAUAGGCAUCGCUUGCUACAUCUCGAGGAAGCGAGGAAGGCGCUACUCUGUUGACUUCUCCACGAGGGCGGAUGAAGCCGACAUUCCUCUCAGCACCGUGUUAGCCAACGACAGCGCGCCGCAAAACGGUUUGCAGACGUUUGAAAGUGGUGACGUGCGCUCAAAAGAAGAAGAAAAAGAAGAAGCAUCAAAAAAUGCAGAGGAAGACGAGACAAAAGCUGAAGCUGCAGCUGAGUCUGCAGCUCCACCUUCAGACGAUUUAGAGGACAAAGUCGAAAACGCAGAGCCAGCGAAACUCGACCAACCAGACCAACAAAUUGCCGAGGGGACUGCUGAGGAGAGUCCGAAGAACGAGAACAACAGCAACAAUGCCGGGAUGGCGGAGAGGAAAGCAGAUUUCCAAUCGUCCACCACGUUUUGGAUGAUUUCCCUCGACGGCCAGGUGUGAGACAUGACCCCCACCCUCCCCUCGGUGGCUGUUCUGAUCUCCAUAAAACACCAUUAAGAGACAAACUACUGGAAAAACAAAGGAAAUUAUUUGUGGAAAUGAUUAAUCCAUGGUAGGUGAAAGGUUAAAAAUUUGAAAGCAUUAUAAAUGAUUCACUUAACAUCAGUGUAAGGUUUACGCUUUUCUGGAAAUGUAUGAUAAGUGAAACAGUGUAAGAGUAAGACGUUACAAUGUAAUAUGGAAAAAAAAAGUUAUUUUGUAUCAUUUUAUUUUGCAGAAUUGUUGUUAAAUAUUGCAAAAAAGGAGGUUAUAGAAGAUUAGUUAAUCUUGUUUGCUUAUUGUAAUUGUUAUAAUGUUUUUAUUAUAAUUGUUUAUCUUGAAUUGCUUUUAUUUCUUAGUGUAGUUCUUCAUGUGUACAGCACUUUGCUUUUAUCUAUGUUUGUGGUUGAAGUGCUUUGUAAAUAAAGUUUGAGUUUAUUUGCGUUACAAUGCUGUACAGUAUUUUGUCACUGAC